AUGGCCGGUUGGGGAUGGUCAGUUCCAUCACACUGCGAGGAGAUGAUUCAUGGCCGGUCGGGGAUGGUCACCUGCGGUGAGCACGAGUACCUCCUCCAUAUCCUCCCAAUACUAGCACCCUUGGCGAUGAAAAUGACAGCCAGGAGAAUCCCUCCUUCACGCCUCUUUUCCAUCUCUGUCAGAUUGUCCUCUCCAGCAAGCCCGAAGGCCAACCUUAAUACUGGACCUCGAGAGGGGCAUGUGGCCAACCAUGCCGGAGGACGCAGAGGAGUUGUUUGGGAAUGUUAUCAUCAGAGGACCCAAGAAGCAGCCCACCACGGAUGCAUGGACGAACCACGCAAGUCCAUUCUUGCAAUCCAUCUGUGGCGAGGGUUCAUGACAGACAAGCCAAUAGAUUUGGGGGUCCACUUCCCGGUGAAACAAAUGUUCAUUGCGGACAAUAUGAAGACGAUGAUUGGAGCAUGUGAGCUCGGGUUGCACCUUGGAGCUCAAAAUUUGGUGUCUUCGCAUUGA
rnacentral:rRNA from 1 species